rnacentral:misc_RNA from 1 species
GAAAUGCGAUAAGUAGUGUGAAUUGCAGAAUUCAGUGAAUCAUCGAAUCUUUGAACGCACAUUGCGCCCCUUGGUAUUCCAUGGGGCAUGCCUGUUCGAGCGUCAUUUGUACCCUCAAGCUCUGCUUGGUGUUGGGUGUUUGUCCCGUCUCCGCGCGUGGACUCGCCCCAAAGUGAUUGGCAGCCGGCGUACUGGUCCCGGAGCGCAGCACAUGUCGCGCAAACGAGUGCCUUGGUACGGCGGCGUCCAUAAGCCCCUCUCUCACGCUCUUGACCCGGGAUCAGGUAGGGAUACCCGCUGAACUUAAGC